rnacentral:rRNA from 1 species
UAGGGAAUCUUCCACAAUGGACGCAAGUCUGAUGGAGCAACGCCGCGUGAGUGAAGAAGGUUUUCGGAUCGUAAAGCUCUGUUGUUGGUGAAGAAGGAUAGAGGCAGUAACUGGUCUUUAUUUGACGGUAAUCAACCAGAAAGUCACGGCUAACUACGUGCCAGCAGCCGCGGUAAUACGUAGGUGGCAAGCGUUGUCCGGAUUUAUUGGGCGUAAAGCGAGCGCAGGCGGAAUGAUAAGUCUGAUGUGAAAGCCCACGGCUCAACCGUGGAACUGCAUCGGGAACUGUCAUUCUUGAGUGCAGAAGAGGAGAGUGGAAUUCCAUGUGUAGCGGUGGAAUGCGUAGAUAUAUGGAAGAACACCAGUGGCGAAGGCGGCUCUCUGGUCUGCAACUGACGCUGAGGCUCGAAAGCAUGGGUAGCGAACAGG